ensembl:lncRNA
AGGUUGUUGCAGGAGAUUGGAAGGAGACUGCUGGUCAGCUGGUACCCUGAUCCUUCAAGGUCUUCCUUGUGAGGAACACAAAAACCUCUUCACCUUGCAAGUCCUGGCUCCAGGCUUGGGCAUCUGAUACAGAAGCAGCAACCUCACAUGGACUGCGUCCAGCCUAAUCCCUGGGAUAAAUGCCUAGGACAUAGGCCCAGUGGUUCUCUUUGUGGUGGGCCAUUGACUGGGGCUCACCCGCAUGCCACUCUACCUCUCUUUCAGGCUGGCUCAGGGAUCAGGUCCGAUUCUUCCUAGCAAGUUCAUGUACACAGGUACUCACAGAACACAGGCUGGUUUGGGGACUUCAUUAUCUUCAAGCUUAGAUUCCCUUGCAGGCCGAUAGUGGGGUGAGUCUGAGCACAGCAAGGCCUGGCUGUGUCCCACAACUAGGGACGCUUUGUUUUUGAGGGUUCCUCUCACCAUGUGACUACUUCUCAUGGCAGGUGCUCAAGGAUAGGAUUCACUCUGAUGGCAGUGACUUCUCAGAUGCCUUCCUCUGACCAGAUGGCCAGGAGAUAGAGUGUGCCCCCAGGGACAGAGUGGGUGCUGCCAGCACGGCUGUGGCUCUGCAGACUUGCUGUGCUGCUUCCUCGUUAGGAAGCCCAGGAAGGGACAUGGCCUCUUUGCCCCCUUUCGGCACAGAUGUGUUUGCCUCUCCAGUAUUUCUAAUCUGGCCCCAGGUUCUUCCACAGGAGGACAGGCUAUGGCUGCUGCCUGGUUUGUGCGACCUAAUAAUUAGGUCCCUAUGAUGCCCUGGGCUUCAGUCACUUAUGUCCUAUCACCUAACUCUGGCUCAGUGUGGCGACUGUGCCUUCCCCUGUGAAUGUCUCCCCACUCCUGUGAGUUUCUCUGUCUAGGAGUAGAAUGACUUGUGAGGUGCCCAAUGAAUGGGGGCCAAAUCAUCCUUUCUAUUGGUCCUCUUUGAAUUGGAAAUUCUCAGCACAAGUCACUACGUUGAAUUUAAGAGUGACUUUCAAAUGCCGACAAGAGCAAGCCAUCUGCAUCUGUUGCUGGGUUCCAUUCUCAGGACGUGAGGACAAAGCAGGGCCCUCUGAGGUAGCAGACACAAGGCCCAACUCACAGUCUUGCCCCUUGGCCAGUUGGUUGAAUGGCAGCUCCAUCUCAUACUUCCCACCCAAGAGCCUCAUUUGAGAGGAGUGACCAGGCCAGUGGAGUGUCACGCUGGGUGUUUUAACAAACUGACCUCCAGGGUUUCUUCCCUUUUAUUGUUCCCUAAAGUUCUCUGAAGCACAUGUUACCAUGGUUACAAUGAUAGACCCUUGGAGCAUCAGCUCUCCAAGUGAGAGGAGACAUUCCACUGCCCAGUAGGUUCCUGUCACUUUUGGAAGGGCACUGGAUGUCAGCAGAGAAGGAGUGUGGGCAUCUGUGGGGUGAUGCACUGACCGGUGCUGCACUCUUAGGCUGGGGAGGACUUAGGGGCUGAAUGGUGCACCCCCCCAAAUUCAUAUGUUGUAGUUCUAACGCUUAGCACCUCAGAAUGUGACUGUAUUGGAGGUGGGGCUUUUAAAGAGGUAGUUUAGGUAAAAUGAGGUCAUUAGGGUGGGCCUUAACCCGAUAUGCCUGGUGUCCUCAUGAGAAGAGGAGAUUAGCACACAGACUCACACAGAGGGAGGACCACGUGAGGACGCAGGGAGAAGACAGCCAUCUACAAUCCAAGGAGAGUGAGCCUCAGAAGACACCAAAUCGGCCAACAUCUUGAUCUCAGACUUCUAGCCUCUAAAAUUGCCGGUGGAUUCCGCUCCUGUUGCUUAUCCUUCAUGGCCUCCUCCCUCCUGGCCUCUGCUUCGGCUGAGGAAUUCCAAGGACACAGGCAUGGAGAGGAGACACACAGAGGACCAGGUCACAGAGCUGAGGGCAACUGUGCCUUGAACAUGGAUUUCAUUGACUUGGGAUCUCCCUUUGUCUUACUCGUCUUAAAUCUUAGAGACGGCAAAUUGUACUUGCCAGUCUUAUAUAUUUCGGCAUGGGGAUGUGAAAGAAAACCAUAUGUCAGUCUGCUUUCAGUUUAGUCACGUAUAUGGUCAAUGAGACAGCAGGGCAAUUUGUCUGCAUGUAAAGCAAAACUAUCUCUAUUCACUAAAGCUGCCCAUUUGUUAAAAUGUUAUAGUAACAGUCAGACCUUCACUGGGUGAUGGUUUACAGUUUCCUGACUGCUUUUACAAGCAUUUUUGUUUUAAUACAUGCGUUAUUGUCUCUGUUUUAUAAAUAUAAAAUUAAGAUCUGCAUGCUGUUCUGAGAAUCAUGGUGAAGUCUCCCUCUAUCCUGCUCAGGUCUUGAAUCAUCCCUUUGUCCAGCGGAGCCAUACUGUUUACGCUAGCCGCCUGUUAGUCACUUAGGAGCUGUCUUGGUUAUCAAAUGGACUGUUGGCGGCAUUGCAGUGAUUGUGUUCCCUCCUUUUACUUAAUAAUGGCCCC